UCUGUACGGAAGAUAAUUUAUUUAAGACCAUAUCAUGAAUGUACAAAACUGCCAACAACAAAAAGGUAUAAUUUGGACAAUACUAGAGUCCAUUUACAUGUCUGACCAAAGGUACAUCGCAAACGGGGCAUAAUCCAGGACCUUCAAAUAAAGAUAUGGACUGGGUCCACCAUGAGGAAAGCACGCUGUAUGUCAAACCUUAGCAGAAAGAAAAUUGGAUAUUUCUAUCAGUGUUAUAAAAUCAAGGCAAUACAUUCAGAUAUAUCACAAAUUAAGCUUUGAGCUAUCAAAGAUGCCCGUUAUAUAGCAAGACAUCCAUCUAUACACCGUUAUUCCUCCUUCACCGUCUGGGAGAGUAAGAGGGGAAAUCAGCACUACUUCACUCACAUUAGAUGUGUCACAGUUUUAGGAAGUUAAAAUCAUUGCCGUUUUUAGCUCACUAGUGGCUUGUAGGCCUACUUCACAAACAGUACAUUCCACUUGGAAACAAAAAUAAAUCUAUAAAAGAAAGAUCAUACCAUACAUGGAACCUACUCCCCACACUCUCCAGAGAGCAUCAGGGACUUGUCUACCGGACGGAAACACUGAACCUCACUAAGGUUGAGCGUGAGCGAUCAUCACUGAUGUUGAGGUCCAGCUGCCUUCUAUGGUCCACUGGAGGGAGUCAUUGUAAACAACUCGGGAUAAACAGAACGCUCUGGUGGACAGGUAGCACCAAGGGGGAUUGUCAUCCAAUCCACCAAGCAAUUAUCACCGACAAUAUUUUUUAAAAAUUUUAGAAGAGUGAUUAACAAGAACAAUCCAUCUCCAUUUAUUAAUUUACUAAAAAUAUCACAUUCUCAUUAAAAAAACUAAACGUUAAAUAUAUUAAGGCCUCUGUGCAAAGAAUGUCAAUAAAGUUGAUGUUUGCAAUAUAUCCAUUUAAAAAGAGAGUGUUGCAUUGUGGUGCAUAGAGACUGGAACCAUAGAGGAGGACCUCAGAGGAAGACCAGUCCUUCUGACUGGGCCCUCGCCAGUACAUUCAGCAAGAGACUGUUGUGGAGGCAGACCAGCCUUCUCCCUAUCAUAUCACAGUCUGCUACUGAAGACUAAAACAUCCCAUGGCAGCAGCGGUCGACGACGCAGUCAGCGCCGUCGAGGAGUCAGAAGUACUGUAGAGACUCAAAGAAAGGCACCAUGAGCGAUCUCAGGGGGCACCCAGAGCGCCUGGCACUCAUAUUCCGUGGCAACGCAUCGCCAUGGGGGUCUCUGAUGCCAUCCCAUAACACCAGGAUACAGAGUUUAUGGGUGUCUAUCUCCCCACCUCCAAGAGGUAUUUUAUUCACAGUAGCCAAUGAGGACCUCUCGCCUGUCGGCAGGUGUUUGGACAUCAUUGUGGUCCCGCUGUCCGAUUGGCCAUCGCAAAGUUGUGCUGAAGCAUGACCAGGGAACCUCGAAGCUGUGGGUUG
ensembl:lncRNA